rnacentral:lncRNA from 1 species
GUUAAACUAUCGGGGUAUUUUCAGAUGUUAAACAUCCGAAAAUUCCUUAAUUUUGGAUGUUCAGCAUCCGAAAAUAGGAAAUUUAACAUCUAACUUUAGGCCUAUUUUCGGAUGAUGAACAUCCAAAAAUCCCACAAAUUCAAAUGUUCAACAUCAGAAAAAAGGUAAAGUGGUUUGUUUAACAAAAUUACGUUAUAAAAGGUAAAAAACAGACGUACAUUUAAUAACAUAAACUAUUUUGGUAAUAACGCAAAGUAUAACAGAUUUUUAUGUAAUUUUCUCAUUACCCUUUUUUGACCGACGAACCUGAAAAAAAAUUAUGGGACCUUGAUCCAAACUUGGACCGGAU